GCAGAUGCUGAAAGGGGAAGAAGAUGCUCAAUUGACAUUCAAUAAAUUUUUUGAAGCCUUUUACAGAAUAUUCGAUGAAAUAUGUCCCAAGAGGCCUUUGAGAUUAAACGCUGAGAAGAGAAAUGUAGCUAAGUCAGGCUGGUAUACACCGAAACUGGCGGAAUUGAAA